rnacentral:rRNA from 1 species
UUUAGAUCCUGCGUCAGGGAUGAACGCUGGCGGCGUGCUUAACACAUGCAAGUCGAACGAGAACCAAUGGAUUGAGGAUUCGCAAAUGAAAUUGGGGAAAGUGCGGACGGGUGAGUAACGCGUGAGCAAUCUGCCUUGGAGUGGGGAAUAACGGUUGGAAACAGCCGCUAAUACGCAUGAUGCAAUUGGGAGGCAUCUCUCUGAUUGCCAAAGAUUUUAUCGCUCUGAGAUGAGCUCGCGUCUGAUUAGCUAGUUGGCGGGGUAACGGCCCACCAAGGCGACGAUCAGUAGCCGGACUGAGAGGUUGGCCGGCCACAUUGGGACUGAGACACGGCCCAGACUCCUACGGGAGGCAGCAGUGGGGAAUAUUGGGCAAUGGGCGCAAGCCUGACCCAGCAACGCCGCGUGAAGGAAGAAGGCUUUCGGGUUGUAAACUUCUUUUCUGAGGGACGAACAAAUGACGGUACCUCAGGAAUAAGCCACGGCUAACUACGUG